UUGUCGUCAGCUCGUGUCGUGAGAUGUUGGGUUAAGUCCCGCAACGAGCGCAACCCUUAUCAUUAGUUGCUAACAUUCAGUUGAGAACUCUAAUGAGACUGCCAGUGAUAAACUGGAGGAAGGUGGGGAUGACGUCAAAUCAUCAUGCCCCUUAUGACCUGGGCUACACACGUGCUACAAUGGCCGGUACAAAGAGUUGCGAAACUGUGAAGUUAAGCUAAUCUCAUAAAGCCGGUCUCAGUUCGGAUUGUAGUCUGCAACUCGACUACAUGAAGUCGGAAUCGCUAGUAAUCGCGAAUCAGAAUGUCGCGGUGAAUACGUUCUCGAGUCUU
rnacentral:rRNA from 1 species